rnacentral:rRNA from 1 species
CAGCAGCCGCGGGAAUACGUAGGGUGCAAGCGUUAAUCGGAAUUACUGGGCGUAAAGCGUGCGCAGGCGGUUUGUUAAGACAGAUGUGAAAUCCCCGGGCUCAACCUGGGAACUGCAUUUGUGACUGGCAGGCUAGAGUAUGGCAGAGGGGGGUGGAAUUCCGCGUGUAGCAGUGAAAUGCGUAGAUAUGCGGAGGAACACCGAUGGCGAAGGCAGCCCCCUGGGCCAAUACUGACGCUCAUGCACGAAAGCGUGGGGAGCAAACAGGAUUAGAUACCCCCGUAGUCCCUGUCUCUUAUAC